rnacentral:tRNA from 1 species
GGUUAUUAGCCUAAGGAGGCCCUUUGUUUUGAAAGCAAAAAAAAGACGUUCGAUUCGUUUAAUAAUCU